GACGAACGCUGGCGGCGUGCUUAACACAUGCAAGUCGAACGGAAAGGCCCUGCUUUUGUGGGGUGCUCGAGUGGCGAACGGGUGAGUAACACGUGAGUAACCUGCCCUUGACUUUGGGAUAACUUCAGGAAACUGGGGCUAAUACCGGAUAGGAGCUCCUGCUGCAUGGUGGGGGUUGGAAAGUUUCGGCGGUUGGGGAUGGACUCGCGGCUUAUCAGCUUGUUGGUGGGGUAGUGGCUUACCAAGGCUUUGACGGGUAGCCGGCCUGAGAGGGUGACCGGCCACAUUGGGACUGAGAUACGGCCCAGACUCCUACGGGAGGCAGCAGUGGGGAAGAUUGCACAAUGGGCGGAAGCCGGAUGCAGCAACGCCGCGUGCGGGAUGACGGCCUUCGGGUUGUAAACCGCUUUCGCCUGUGACGAAGCGUGAGUGACGGUAAUGGGUAAAGAAGCACCGGCUAACUACGUG
rnacentral:rRNA from 1 species